rnacentral:tRNA from 1 species
GCCAGAGUGGUGGAAUUGGCAGACACGCCAGACUCAAAAUCUGGUUUUCGUAAGAAAGUGGGGGUUCGACUCCCCCCUCUGGCA